rnacentral:lncRNA from 1 species
GUUACAGUGCUUUGGCAGUAGAGACUUCCUAACAUGAAAAUCAACCAUGAGAAUACUUUUUUUGUUCCUUUACUUUAAAUGGCGUAUAUGCAGAUAUUUUCUAGAGGACAUGUAGCAAAUUAGAAAGCAUAUCCUGGACACAACAAGAACAGAAGGUGUCUGGCUGUUAGACCAGCGCUGGAUGUACAAUGUGGUUAUUGGAGGAUAAGAAAAAUAAUAAAGACAAAGACCACUGGAAAACACCCACACAUAGAUAGUGGACAAAGGAAGAAAGAAAUGGAAAAUUCAGAAUCGGUGUUCCAUCAUCUUUUAGACCAUCCAUUGUGGGAGUGUCUGCAAGAUAGCAUCUGACAAUUAAUUUAGCCACCUACAGAAAAUGAACUGGUGACUUCCAAAUGGUUUACAGUGAGCAGGAAGAUGUCAUCAUGCUUUUGACAGUCUAAGACACAAGAGGUGUACUCGAUCUGCCAGAGACUAAUCUUGUUCGGCAUUUUAAGAAUUUGUCUUCUUUCUUCUUACUCCCCUGUUUACACACCUGUAAGAAUACCUAUGUAUAUAAGCAUUUUAUCUCAAGAACAGCACGUACAUGUUGCAUACACUUUUCUGUUUUCACAAAUAUCAUCUCAUCAGAAUUAGAGCCACUACUGUCUUCUGUAAUGCCAGCUAGUUUCGAAGGCUCUCUGGCUCCAGUAUUCCCCGUGGGCAGAGCCUCCACACAGAUGCGAAUACGCUCCACACAAGCUAGCAUUCAGGGCUUGCUUCACGAGCUCUGUAUUUGCCCAUCCCACCCAAACUAA